UGAGUUAAACCAAGCCAAGCAGAAACAUACAACUAUCUGCUAGGGGGUUUCUUCAGGGACUGAUUAUAUGAACUAGAAAGCAGUACUAGAAACAGAAGAUGCAUAUUUUAAGACAUAUUUAAAAUAGCAGUACAGAAAACAAUACUGAUUUACAGUUCCUAAGAACUACAAGCUGCAGUGCAAGAAUUUGACACUACCUUCACUCACUGAAGUCAGUAGCACGUCAUAGAGAACAUAAAUCUGCAGAAUACAUCUCCUAGCCUGCAGUGGUGUGAAGAGAUCAUCAGUAAGGGAAAGUACUGGACUUCUGGUAGAUACCACCAAGGAGUAACAGUCUUAUCAUAUGGGUAAUGGGAAAAGGAAGUAUUAAAGGGAAAGAAAUAAGAAAGGUCCUGAGGACAGCCUGGCUCUGCCAACACGCACAGUAUCAGAAGCUGAUCUGCCCAGAGAUACGAAUCCACAGAAUAGAAGUUAAAUAUGCAAAUGAAGAAAGGAUUUAAAAUAAUCAAGCAUUUGAAACACCGGUACAUUUAAUUCUUCAAUUAUAAAGGUAAACACUCUACCUCACAUUUCUUUUGUGUCUCAGAUUUACGAUACAUCUUUGGAUGUACUUCAGGCAACAAAAAUGUGCUAACAUUCCUCAACAAAAAGAGAAAUUGUCUGCAAAUACAAAGUGAGUAUCUGGUGAAGAUUUUUGGACAAUGUCCUAAGUAGGUCAGAAAAAGGUGUAUCGUUUCUUUAAAAUGUGUAGUUUGACUUAGCUUUAUACAAUCUUAGAAAAACAGAGGGGAUUACAAAAAGCAUAGGAAAUGAUAUCAUCUGUCAAGCAGGGAAGGAACUUAAAAACCACAAACUGAUUUCAAUUAGAGCAAGCUAUGCCAAGAGCUAAUUUCCAUUCCCACAUGAAGACCAAAGCCAUUUAAAUAGUUUGAACUACAUUUGAGAUAAAAAGGUUAACAGUAGCUUAUAUGAUGAUUUUCGUAUUAUUUGUUCUAGUAACAGUGAAGUAUAUUUCCCCAUUUUGGGAUGAGGAGUGGUUUUACACAUAACACACACACACACACACACAAAAUUUUCCAUAAUUUGUCUUACUGCUUCUCAAAGGAACUUUUCCAAGUUAAAAUAUUUCUUCCUCCUUUUUAAACUAAAAUCAUUACGGGAGAGACUGCUGGGACAACACAUCGUAAUUACUAAAAUGAGCUAUUCUAAUCAGUGAUAUUUGUCCCUUAUUACUAUGCAGUAAAAUCAGUGACAUCAAGUCAGUAAACUAAUCAUUUUUUGUUGUCUUUUACAGGAAUGUUGAAAACAGUAUUUCCAAAAUAAUACUGACUAUUCUGAAAUAGUACCCUUCCAAAAGUUUAUAGAAAAACAUGCAAAAGGCUGUCUGGAGCUUAGAUGAUGAUUUUAAGACUGCAUUUUUGAAAAGUAACAUACUACUUGCAGGUCCAGAGCCUCAGCUAUAUCAACAACUCCAUUUGUGUCAGUAGAGAAAUUCCACUCAAUGAAAUAACCUGUCCCAAGGUAUUGCAUUGACCGAGACUAGAGGAAAAAGCACAGGAAUUACCAUAAGGCUGGUCCAAUUUGUAAACAGUCUGCAAUGGAAAUUUCUCAAAUCAAAACAGAGGUAACUGCAGGAAUGCAGCUUUAUAAACCUGCAAAAGAGACGGCAAGAUCAAGUACAUCCGUGCACACUGUGUGGGCAAUGCUUGUACUGAUUAUCAAAGAGAAACUACACGCUGCAUAUUUAAACAUCACAGUUUCUGACUGUCUUAGUAAAUUCCCAGCAAAUCUGAGCAAAAACUUCAUCCAUACAGAGUACACCAUCACAUCACAACUGCUCCCGAAACAUUCAGGGGAUCACUAAGCAGCCAAAAGGUAACACACCCACACCAUCAGUUCCGCAGUAUCAGCUAAAAAAUAUGGGGGUGAAAAACCUGAA